UCCAAGAUGAGGUAGUCUCAGAUGGAAAUGAAGAACUUGUUGGGAACUGGAGCAAAGGUGACUCUUGUUAUGUUUUAGCAAAGAGACUGGAGGCAUUUUGCCCCUGCCCUAGAGAUCUGUGGAACUUUGAAAUUGAGAGAUAUAAUUUAGGGUAUCUGGCAGAAGAAAUUUCUAAGCAGCAAAGCAUUCAAGAUGUGACAUGGGUGCUGUUAUAGGCAUUCAGUUUUACAAGGGAAGCAGAGCAUAAAAGUUCAGAAAAUGUGCGGCCUGGCAAUGUAAUAGAAAACAAAAUCUCACUUUCUAAGGAUAAAUUCAAGCUGGCUGCAGAAAUUUACAUAAGUAACUAGGAAAUGAAUAUUAAUCCCAAAGAGAAAGGGGAAAUUGUCUCCAGGGCAUGUCAGAGGCCUUCACAGCAGCCCCUCCCAUCGUAGGCCUGGAGGCCUAGGAAGAAAAAGUGGUUUCAUGGGCCAGGCUUAGGGUCCUUUGCUGUAUGUAGCCUAGGGACUUGGUACCCUGCAACCCAGUGGUUCCAGCUGUGACCGAAAGGGGCCAAUGUAGAGCUCAGGCCAUGGCUUCACGGGGUGCAAGCCUUAAGCCUUAGCAGUUUCCACAUGAUAUUGAGCCUGGGAGUGCACAGAAGUCAAGAAUUGAGGUUUGAGAACCUCUGCCUAGAUUGCAGUGGAUGUAUGGAAAUACCUGGAUGUCCAGGCAGAUGUUUGCUGCAGAGAUGGGGCCCUCAUGGAGAACCUCUGCUAGGGCAGUGCAGAAGGGAAAUGUGGGGUUGGAGCCCCCACAUAGAGUCCCUACUGGGGCACCACCUAGUGGAGCUGUGAGAAGAGUGUCACCAACCUCCAGACCCUAGAAUGGUAGAUCCACUGACAACCUGCACCAUGUGCCUAAAAAAGCUGCAGACUCUCAAUGCCAGCCUGGUAAAGCAGAAAGCAGCCAGGAGGGAGGCUGUACUCUGCAAUGCAACAGCGGCAGGGCUGCCCAAGACCAUGAGAACCCACCUCUUGCAUCAGCAUGACCUGGAUGUGAGACAUGGAGUCAAAGGAGAUCAUUUUGGAGCUUUAAGAUUUAACUGCCCUGCUGGAUUGCAGAUUUGCAUGGGGCCUGUAGCCCCUUUCAUUUUGGCCAGUUUCUUCCAUUGGAAAUGCUGUGUUUACCCAAUGCCUGUAUCCCCAUUGGAUUUAGGAAAUAACUAACUUGCUUUUGAUUUUACAUGCUCAUAGGCAGAAGGGAGUUGCCUUGUCUUGGAAGAUACUUUGGACUGAGAACUUUUGAGUUAAUGCUGAAAUGAGUUAAGACUUCAGGGAAUGUUAAAAAGACAUGAAUGGUUUUGAAAUGUGGGGACAUGAGAUAUGGGAGGGGCUUGAGUGGAAUGAUAUGGUUUGGCUUGUCCCCACUCAAAUCUCAUCUUAAAUUUCCUUGUGUUGUAGGACAGACCCAGUGGGAGGUAAUUGAAUCAUGGGGCAGGUCUUUCAAGUGCUGUUUUCAUGAUAGUGAGUAAGUCUCACAAGAUCUGAUAGUUUUAAAAAUGGGAAUUUCCCUGAACAAGCUCUCUCUCUUCUCUUUUCUGCUGCCAUGUGAGAUGUGCCUUUCACUUUCCACCAUGAUUUUGAUGUCUCCCCAGCCACAUGGAACUUCACUACUAUGGCAAGAUCAAGACUGGAUCUAGGAGAUCUCGGUUCAAUAUGGAGAUUAUCCAGAGAUUCUACUGUUGGAGCCAGAUGCUAUAACUGAAGAGGGUUAAAACUGUCUCCUUUUGGGACACCGAAACAUAGAAGCCUGCCCGGGAAGAGCAGGGUAGAACUUAUAUUCUCUUUGUUCAGCUUCCCAGAGGAAUAAGAAGGCCAGAGUGAAGCCAGGAUAGGAAGAAACAUGAAGCGAUGAAACAUACUGAACAAUUCCAUGUUUAUGGAAAAAAAUUCUGGUAAUGAACUUACUUCACACCAAAGAGACAAGGAGUAGCAUCAUUACCUCAAGCAAUAUUGCCAGAGAAAAUCUUGACACAGAGAAGACAAGCUCAGUGCUUAAUGUGAAAAUUUAUCUGCACAUACAGAACCAGUCCAUAAUACAGGAGAAUGUUUUAUCCAGUGUUUCAUAUCAUUGGCACAACGAACAUCAGUAAAGAUGGAAAUUGGUUUACUAUGAAUUGUAAAGAAAUACUUUUAUAUACUGAAACUCGUAUUUAUAUUUAGCUUUGUGAUACCAGAUGGAAGUCUUGCUCAAUGACAUAUAUUUAAAACAAAUGAAAUAAGUUAUAUUACAUUGACCAUAUGAAAUUUAUUAUUGUUAUAACUUAAAUGUGGUUAACAUCAGCAAUUCUAUGUGGCUAAACCUAGUAUAUCAGUUAGGAACUUUUUUAAACCUGAAAAUAGAAGAAUAACUGGACAAUAGUAACAUAAAACAAAUAUAAGCAAAUUUUUUUCUUACAUAACAAGAAGUCUGGAAGUGGUUGCAGAUGUUGGUUUUAGCAGAACAAUGUUUGCAGAGAUACAAGUUCCUUCUAUUCCUUUUACUCACUGUCUUAUGUAUUUCAUUUGUAUGCUUGUUCACCUCACAUUCACCAAAUUGCUGUUAUGACUGUAGACAACAUAUUUGUAUAAUGGGAGAAGAUAGGGUCAGAAGAAGACCAUGGUACCAGCUCUGUCUAUUCCUUUCUACCAGGAAAGAAAAUAUCUUUUUCUCAAAAUUCCCAGUAUACCACUGUUGACAACUCAUUGAAUAAAACAGUGUUGUGGUCACAUUUGUCUGCAAAGAAAGCAGGUAUAAUAAGUAUUUAGCUGGGCACAUUGUAGUCCUGAGCUUUAGUAAUUCUCUUGGUAAAGUAUAUAAAAGAGAAAUAGGGAUUGGGACUGUAAUUCACAGGGUCUUCCACAGGGUAUUUUCUUACUAAAUUCAGUACUAUGUAAAGCCAGAACAACUUCAGAAUCUCUACAUUACAAGAAGUAUUAAAAAGGACUUUAAACAUCAUAAGCAUGAUCUUUGGUCUUAAUAAGCAUAUUAAUAAAAUAAGUAUAAGCAUAAGUUUAAAUAUUAAUAAGCAUAGGCUUUAUUAUCUUAAACAUUGUGUAUGACAGAAGAGAAGUUUAUGCAAUUGUUUCCAGAGUUGGUACACUUAAUGGUACCAACUUUUUUUUCCUUAUUGAAACUCUGUUAUGACUACUUUAAAGACAAUCCUGCAUAGCGGGCAUCUAGAAUCCGCUAAUAGCUGGGUGACCACUGUAGUUCAUACCUGACCAAACAUCCCUGAAGAAAUUAUGGAGCUGACUCGCCAAAAGUCAAUUUGCAUUAGGAACUUUGAAGCCUCCGGAGAAAUGCAUACUAUCCUCAGGGUAGAAAUAUUCAGAUAUGAGAAGCUUGGCCUUAAAACAAAGCCUUUGUAUUGGGAUGGAGUGGUGAAUCAGAUUCUAGCACUGUUCUGAAACAUGGAUUUGUUCCUCCAUCCAACGUGACUCCUUUCCACAAUUAGAGUCAUUCAUGUCGGAUCUUGGGGUAGAGAGGGCAGGGCAUGAUUUAUACAUGAGAAAUGAUUUGUAAACAGUUUGCAGUCAUACUCACUAAAUUCAGUUAUUGGAACCCAAGUAGCUUCGUUAGUAGAAUGUAGCAUAAAAAUGAGGGACAAACAUUCUUCUCCACUCAGCAGCACAGUAUUUAUGAAGAAACAUAUUGCUUCUAAUGUAGCAGGCAGUGGCAGUGCCUGGUGUACAUAUAGAUCCACAAGGUAAGCUGCUGUUCCUGGCGUGAGUAGAUACGCAUCAGUCUAGGCAAGAAUGCCAAGUGUAAGAGGAAGGCUCAGAAACCACAGCUGUACCCAACACAAGUGACACUGGUCAAAAGCAGAGCCCAGCAUGAGAAACUGUGAGAAUCAGCAGAGAUGGGACUUCUAAGUGGUCAUGGUGCCCUCCAGGAGAUUGAGCUACAGUUAAAAAGUAAGAAGUAGAGAAUGCAGUGUGAUAGCUGAUUAGUAAACUUAUCAUAUUUGUUUGUGUGUGGGUAGUAUGCUCUCGAGAAAUUCUUAUGAGCACUUUUUCAGUAGUUAUGACUUAUCUUUAGCACCUGUGGGCAAGAGUCAUUGGAAUAUACAUUACAUCUACAAAUGAAUAUUUAUCUCUGAGAUGAGCUGUUCGCAGUUUAAUAAAAGUAGGACAGAAUAACAGCAAAUAUUUGGCUUUGCGUAUAUGUCUGUGGAUCUAUUGCAAGGUCUUAAACAUUUCCCAUUCUUGGUCCUGGAGCCCUUUUUGCUCUCAGAUGGAUUCUCAAACAAGAAAUGAAAAAGCAUCAUCUCCAUGAGAUCAAAGUGUUCCAAUUAUAUCCUGAGGAGGCUGUUGUUUGAUCUAUUUUUCAACUGUAAGAUGGUCCUUAAUAACAUCAAUAAUAUGUAUUAAUUGGUGGUUCAAUGUUUUUCUCGCAAGAAACCAAGUGAAUAUUAAAAAUAUUCCUAAUUGACAAGGAAGUACAGGAGCUGACUUGCUAGGAUCACAGAACCAACAACAAGAGUGCGUCUGCAUGUCAAGACUCUGACCUACUGUGUGGGACUCUUUUCAUUACUCCAUCCUCAUCCUCCACCAGCCAUAGCCACCGAAGAACACUCACUUAUUUAAGCAAACUCUGUUUUUAGAAUUGAAGAUGAUAAUUAUUUAUUGCUUUUUUCAGAGUUUUUAUUUUUUAACAUUUAUUACAACAAAUUAGAAUAUAAGAUGAU
rnacentral:lncRNA from 1 species